AAACAGAGUAGGUGGUAGGUAAGUUAGUUUAUAAAAAGUUGGUAUAAUGUAUUAAAAUAUAACAUUAGUUAUGUAUUAAUAUUUAAACAAAGUUUACCUGGUCCAUGUACAUGGCCAUAAUUAUUAACAAUUGUUCUGUUGCUGGAACCAGAGGCCUACUCUUAAACGUUGCAUCAACAUGUAUUUCUCGAGCAGAAGUAAAAAGGCCAAAAAUUGUUUAAAUUAAGAUAAUUGUUGAAUAUACAAAAGGAGAUGGAGAGAUGAAUACGACUGCUGAUCCGGCAUCAGGAGCACCCAUUACAAAUCCUUUGAACAUUGCUCGUCCGUUAGCCGUUCUAAACAGGUGACUGUAGCGAGGAUCUACCAAAUCACCUGCAUACUCCAUUAGAUCAUUUGGAAUUUUCGGUUGAGCUGCAGCUCUUGCCGUCUCCAUAAUUCUUAAAAAUGAAGUGUACUCCAAACGAUCUUCCAAGCCUUGUGUUCUAAACAGGUAAUGUAAGAUACAAAUAAAAUAAAAUAUAUGUGCAACGUUU